UACGAAGGGGGCUAGCGUUGCUCGGAAUUACUGGGCGUAAAGCGCACGUAGGCGGCUUUCUAAGUCGGGGGUGAAAUCCUGGAGCUCAACUCCAGAACUGCCUUCGAUACUGGAAAGCUCGAGUCCGGGAGAGGUGAGUGGAACUGCGAGUGUAGAGGUGAAAUUCGUAGAUAUUCGCAAGAACACCAGUGGCGAAGGCGGCUCACUGGCCCGGUACUGACGCUGAGGUGCGAAAGCGUUGGGAGCAAACAGG
rnacentral:rRNA from 1 species